GUCUUUCCCUCCCUCUUCCAGCUUCAGCUUCUCUCUCCUGUCGCCUCCACUUCCCAGCUCUCCACCUCUCCCUGGAGCUGGUUGCUAGGCAACGGCAGGUCUUGCGCUAUGUUGGACAGGAGGAGCGGGGAAUGCCGCUCGGCUCUGUGUGGAGACCUCUUGCUGGCGGAACCAGGUCACUCUCUCUCUCUCUCUCUGCCCCUUGGUGGGAGGCCCACACUUGAGAAGAGAGAUAGGUGGUUAGGAAGAGCCUCUCCUCGAAACGGUCAAAGGAAAUAUAUGUCUGCGUAGAGGAGCCUGCUGCACACAAAUUUACAACAGCUGUUUGUGUGUGUGUUCCAAAGUGCUGAUGUCUUGACUCUCAAAAAACAAUCUUGUUCUGCCGGCUCUAGACAAACACGGAAGCAAAAGCAGGAAGUGUUAACAGAGAGAUUAAGAGGUGGCUAGCUUCCUGCGCCAUCUGUCUGUGUACUGUCAAAUGAUUAUUUGCUGAUGUCUGUCUGACUGGAGACACGGCUGCUGAACCAUCAAUAUUUUAAUGUCAACUGUGAUAGUAGGCUAUUGCUGAGGCAAAGUUUAGCCUCAAGGGCAACUAGAGUGGCACUGUGAGAAAGUCAUAUGAAACUUCCUGACAAGAUGGUAGAGGAAAUGUGUGAAAUCAUCCUGGCUAUGAACUUCUCACAAUGUCUUGGCCAUUUUAAUCCAGUCCAGUUGAGCCAUCUUGAUUUUCUCUCAGCUGAGGUCAGUCUCUGCAAGGCAAACUCAGGGUGGGUGUUAUGAGCAGCUACAGGCUGAACCAGAGGGACAACGUUCGGAGAAAUGACAGACACCUUACGCUUGACCUCAUCUGGUCCAUAGGGACAAAAUAUAUAAAACGAAACCUACAAAUCCCUUUGGAAAUCUUCGGACCAGCUGUAGCUCAUUUAAAAAAGUUGCAGAUAGGGCAUUUUUUACAGUCACGGAAAAAACGUACUGACCCUGUCACUGACAGUCCAGUUCAAUGCCAUGCAUGUUUUCUUUUUUGCACACUGUGUUUGCCACUUUCAAAAGUGUGUGUUUGCUUACACUCAGAGGGAGCAAAGUUUCAGAGCCAACACGAGUCAGCACUGGUCGGUUUUAGUUUUUUCACUUUAUUUGGAAAAAGACGUUUAGGUGGACAACUGAGCAAUGAGAAAAACAAUAGUAAAAGCAGUUCUUCGCAAAGGACGAGCUGGCCUGCAGAGGAAACUGCAUGUAACCGUCUCAAGGACAACGGUGAACGACGCCGCCAUCCUUGACGCCGCUAACAGACCUGAGAGAACAGAGAGCCGAGCAGAGUCGAUUCUGACCCUCCUUGGCAUCGUCGGAACAGUGCUCAACUUGCUCCUCAUGAUUUUCGUCUACAUCUACACUUCCCUUUGGACAUGGAGCCAGCAGGCUGGCGUCACUUUAAGGUCAUGCUUUUUGAACAAAAUUGUAAAUGUCCCAGCUUUUUUUGUGUAGUCGUUAGCCAGAGUUCAUGUACAUUUUGGCUCAGGGGAUUCUACCAGCAAAGCAAUAAAGGAUGUGUUAUACUGUGUGGAAGAAUCAUUCAUUGUGUAGCUUAAUCACAAUUUUAUGUGUGGAUUGUUAUACAUGUUAGUAUGAGUUGUUCAGUUUUGUUUUAUUAUUUGUUUUAUUGUUCUUUUAACAUCUUCAUUGUAGGGUUUAAGCAUAAUGAAAAUGACCAAAGAGAACUUUACUGUUUUAUUUAACCUAAACAGAUUAUGUUUCAUAAUGUCUGUGUUGCAGCAUUUUUCUCAGUUGCAUGCUUUAAGCAGUGAACUUUGACCUUCUCAGGGGCUGCUGUCCAUCUUAACUCUUAUAGCUGUAUGCAAAAUAUGUGAAAACCACAGCUUGUCCUUUGACCAGUGUGUUAUUUUUAGACACUGAAAUGCUCUGGAUAUCACAAAGAAUUUCGACUUGUGGAGGAUCAGUGUCUUAGCACGAAGAGCUCCUUUGUAGCUGUGAGCCAGCCUCAAGCCCACUUUCUCUAUCCCAGUUGGUGAGAGUGUUCUUCCCCUUGAUUAGGUGCCCAGCAGUGCGUUCUGUCGAGCUAAUAUCUCACACAGCCCCCGGCACGAAGAAUCAACAAGGUCCAAAGGUAUACCGAAACACCUUGGCCACUGUACUGAGCACACACUGAAGACUGGGCAGUGUUUUUAGCUGUCAUGGGGUCCCUGGGCUUCAAUGUCGCCUUUUAUUAGACUGUGUGGUGCUGUCCUCUGUUCCUGUGUGGAGCUGUCCUCUGUUCCCUGGGAGUGUGGCUGAAUGCACGGAUCAGUGCUUUCAGAAGCAGAGGUUUUUUUUUUGCUCUUUGUAAUGUGUCUCUCACCUAGCUGUAAAAAACCAAGUGUGAUGAUGUCCCUCCAGACACUCACCGGAGCGGUGUGUUCAUGGCCAUAACUAUAGCAGAUCGGUGUGACAUUCAUAGACAUCAUCUCCUACUAAACUGGCAUAUCUCAAGGCAGAGAUAUUUGCAGCAACUCAUAUACUUAUAUAUUAGUGUAUAUAUAGUAUACUUAUUAUAAACUAAAAAAUGGAGCAAUUUUUUCAAUUAAAUAGAGGACUACAAAUGACAUUUUGUUGAUUCAUUGUGUAGCUUUCCAAACAUAUUUGUUUCUUUGUCACUAUUUAGGUCUGCGCAUGUUUAUCUUUUCUUGAGAGUUGUUUCUGUCACUCCCAACGGGAAAAUAUGUGUUCUUGCGUUUCAUAUUCAAAUCCUAUCUGCUUACAUCUGGCUCCAUUGUUGUCCACGCAUCAGAGGGAAACAGAAGUUGUUCUCUCUGUGUCAACACCGUCUAGAUAUGGGAGAAUAUGAAAAAUGAAAGAUGACUCUUGUGAAACAUUCAUGGGACAGCUUCUUCUGCCCUAGCAUUAAUAUUCAGAUCUGGUUUUGACAGAACAACGACAUUACAAGCUGGCUAUUGCCUCAUGAUUCAUAUAUGGAUUCCAUCCUCUUCCUGUGUUGUUUGGUGGUUUGCAUUUAUGCUACUGAAGCAAGGCUUUCUCAGAAUCCACUGAAGCAUACAGUUAUUGUAAUUUCCUAUAGAAAUACUUUCCUGGAAGCCAGCAUUAUAACUUGUUUAUUACAGGGCUAAUCUUUUACCAAAUUGUUGACGUGAAAUACACACAAAAUGUCAGUCCAAUUUUAUGACAGUACUUCAAAACUGAAUAUGUUUAAAUGUUCCUUUUACCCUCUAGUUCUUCAUUCCGAAAUUCAUUAUUACUUGACCUCAGGCCCCAAACAUCUCACAAAUAUUAUGGAUGUUAUGGAGGGAUGAAGCUGAAGUUGAUGACUUUCUCAGAGUGCACAUUGCAUCCUGUUCCCCAGUGUCACACUGACAAAUGAGGAACCCUGAGUCUUUGUCCUUCACCACUUCUCUGUUCUACUCUGCUCUUGCAAUGAAGGUUUUUUUUUUCUUCACUAUUUAUUCACAUCAGAUUGAGAUCACUGUGAUGCAUGUUGUGCCCUUGUCAUUCAGAGAAGAGGAACCGGAACGGGCGAUAUCAUGUGUGAGUUUUGUAAAUGAGGUGGCAAAUGUUAGCAUGGCAACAGCUAAAACCCACAUUCACUGCAAAAAAAUUGCUUUGAAUGUGUAUGAAAUGCCUUCAGACCUCAGCUUCUGCUAGCCUAGCUUCCGUAUUGCAUUCGCAAAGUCCUGCAGUUGCUCAACUAUAUUUCCUUCCUAUCAUGCACAUUUUCAGAGUUUCUUGUAGACAAUACUUAUCUGUGAAUCUGUGAACCCAAGAAGCAUAGUGAUACUGUUGCAUAGUUUCCAUGGACAUCAUUAUCAGGAACGGGGAAGUGGGGAACAUUGAAAUUCCUGUAGCUAGUGCUUCACUAAUCAAAUGACUGUUCACUAAAAUAUUACUCACCCAGAUAAAAAAAGAACUUAGGGGUUCAAAUGCAGUAUCUGGAUUAAGUUUGGCUUGACACUGAUUAGACACUAAGCCAAGAACUGUGACUUGCUGUUUGAAUAUACAACAGUUAAAUUAUGAAUCAGUAAAAAUCUAUGGAUAAGUUGUCUUUGAAGUGUAGAAGGCAGAAGCACUUUCUUUAUUCAUCAAAAGAGGCACAUCACAGCCCUCUAAUGAAACAUUUACAGUUUGUAUUUAACAUUCUCUUUCUAUGAUUUUAAGUACCAUAUAGCAGAGGAUACCUUGUACAUACUAUAUUUGAAUUAAUAACAUUGUUGUGCCCUCAUAUGACCCCAUUCAUGCUUUUAUUGCCACUGUACCAAGACUCUGAGACAUGUUGUUUUUGAAGUAUGUGAUAUAACACAAUGACAAAGAGCUAUUUCAAAUGAAUGUUGUUUCAAAAACACGUUAAUCGAAUGUGAAAUCACAUCAUAACAGGGAGACACCUACCCUUCCAUCUGCAGACAAGCCUGCAGACAUGAUUGGAUGAACUGGAAUGCCUGCUCUUCUGCAUAUUCAGAGAGGGCUUUUGGCAAAAGCUGGCAGCAGGCCCAAGGCUCACCAGGCGGCUAGGUUAAUUAAAAGAGACGUUACAUCAUCCCUCUGCUAAUGGGGCUAUCGUGCAGCAAUCCCCCCAACCCCACCCCAGUCUCCUCAUCGAAUUCUAUUGAGAUGGCCCCACGAGAGGAGACGUGUGUGUGUGUGUGGGGGGGGACACCUGUCCCGCUGUCUCAGAGAGAGAGAGACUCCGAAUGUGUGGAGAGUGAAAGUGAAUGUGACUGGUGUAUGGACCAAAAUAGGAGAAUGGAUCAAAUUCAAAUUAAACUUCAAGAUUGAAACAUUCUUAAUAAAAAGAUUCAGCAGCGCCUCUUCCCACCCAGUGUUCAUGGUUUUGUGAGGUUUAACUGUGCAAGUGUUGAUUGUUUGGCGCGUGGUAGAAAGGAGGAGGUGUGUGGGGGGUGGGAUGUGCAGAUAAGGACAUCAUGGUUAAGCAGUUAAGCAAUAGUGUAAAAAGCAACUGACCACUUUGUUUAUGCCUAAUUGCAUUACUCAUGUUGUAAUCAUCUUUAUAUGUGCAAAAUCCUGGCCCCUGACAUAAUUUGUACGUGGAAUCGGAGGCUUUAAUAUUUUUUAUUUUAAAUAAACAUAAUUUGGCUCAAG